rnacentral:rRNA from 1 species
UGGGGAAUUUUGGACAAUGGGCGAAAGCCUGAUCCAGCAAUGCCGCGUGUGUGAAGAAGGCCUUCGGGUUGUAAAGCACUUUUGUCCGGAAAGAAAUCCUUGGCUCUAAUACAGUCGGGGGAUGACGUACCGGAAGAAUAAGCACCGGCUAACUACGUGCCAGCAGCCGCGGUAAUACGUNGGGUGCAAGCGUUAAUCGGAAUUACUGGGCGUAAAGCGUGCGCAGGCGGUUUGCUAAGACCGAUGUGAAAUCCCCGGGCUCAACCUGGGAACUGCAUUGGUGACUGGCAGGCUAAGUAUGGCAGAGGGGGGUAGAAUUCCACGUGUAGCAGUGAAAUGCGUAGAGAUGUGGAGGAAUACCGAUGGCGAAGGCAGCCCCCUGGGCAAUACUGACGCUCAUGCACGAAAGGCGUGGGGAGCAAAACAGGAUUAGAUACCCUGGGUAGUCCACGCCCUAAACGAUGUCAACUAGUUGUUGGGGGAUUCAUUUCCUUAGUAACGUAGCUAACGCGUGAAGUUGACCGCCUGGGGAGUACGGUCGCAAGAUU